AUUGCAGAUAUUCGUGAAUCAUCGAAUCUUUGAACGCACAUUGCGCCCUCUGGUAUUCCGGAGGGCAUGCCUGUUUGAGCGUCGUUU
rnacentral:rRNA from 2 species